CAGGAAUUGUCAGUGGAAAAAGAAAGGAACUCAGGAGAACUCAUGUGUGAAGGGAAAUUGGAAUCUGAUAAAGCCCCGAGUCUGGAGAUGUUCCUAAGUACCUUCCUGAGCAUUUGGGCGUGACCUCACCAGUUUUCUGAGAAGACUUGGUCUUGCUGGAAGCACCGUGGGAAUGUGGGUGGCCUCCAGUGUCAGAGGACAAGGUGAACGCUGUACUCUAUUUUCAUAAUGAACUGCCAUCUUUGUGGAAAUACAGCCUGAAAUCUGUAGCAUACAUAUUUUUCUAGAAACAAGAAUAUCUGUGCUUCUAUUAUAUAAGUCCCGGCAUAAUAAAUUUUCAUAACUUUUUAAAAUGUAAAGUUGAAUAGAAAGAGACUAGAGAGAAAAAAUGGAUACAAAGCUUUCAUAAAUAAGAAGGAGAAGAAGGUUUGAAGGGAGGGGAGAGGAAUGGGAAAAAAAGAAGAAUCAAGAUACAGUGUAU
rnacentral:lncRNA from 1 species